UUGGAGGGCAAGUCUGGUGCCAGCAGCCGCGGUAAUUCCAGCUCCAAUAGCGUAUAUUAAAGUUGUUGCAGUUAAAAAGCUCGUAGUUGAAUUUCGGGGUUUAUCCGUCGGUCGGGCUUUUGGGUCUGUACUGGCGUGAUAGAUUCCUACCUUCUGAAUAACCGGCAUGUCAUUAAUUUGGUGCGCCGGGGAAGCAGGACUGUUACCUUGAAAAAAUUAGAGUGCUUAAAGCAGGCUUAUGCCUGAAUACAUUAGCAUGGAAUAAUGAAAUAGGACGGCAUGGUUCUAUUUUGUUGGUUUCUAGGAUCACCGUAAUGAUUAAUAGGGAUAGUUGGGGGCAUUAGUAUUCAAUUGUCAGAGGUGAAAUUCUUGGAUUUAUUGAAGACUAACUUCUGCGAAAGCAUUUGCCAAGGAUGUUUUCAUUAAUCAAGAACGAAAGUUAGGGGAUCGAAGACGAUCAGAUACCGUCGUAGUCUUAACCAUAAACUAUGCCGACUAGGGAUCGGACGAUGUUAAUUUUUUAAUGACUCGUUCGGCGCCUUACGGGAAAC
rnacentral:rRNA from 1 species